GACGAACGCUGGCGGCGUGCUUAACACAUGCAAGUCGAACGGUGAAAGCGGAGCUUGCUCCGCUGGAUCAGUGGCGAACGGGUGAGUAACACGUGGGCAACCUGCCCCUCACUUCGGGAUAACUCCGGGAAACCGGGGCUAAUACCGGAUAUGACCUCCUUGGGCAUCCUUGGAGGUGGAAAGUUUUUCGGUGCGGGAUGGGCCCGCGGCCUAUCAGCUUGUUGGUGAGGUAGUGGCUCACCAAGGCGACGACGGGUAGCCGGCCUGAGAGGGCGAACGACCACACGGGGACUGAGACACGGCCCAGACUCCUACGGGAGGCAGCAGUGGGGAAUAUUGCGCAAUGGGCGAAAGCCUGACGCAGCAACGCCGCGUGCGGGAUGACGGCCUUCGGGUUGUAAACCGCUUUCAGCAGGGAAGAAGCCGCAAGGUGACGGUACCUGCAGAAGAAGCACCGGCUAACUACGUGCCAGCAGCCGCCGUAA
rnacentral:rRNA from 1 species